rnacentral:rRNA from 1 species
AGUAAAUAGAUACCCCGGUAGUCCUAGCCGUAAACGGUGAUCACUAGGUGUUGGAGGCAUCGACCCCUCCAGUGCCGCAGCUAAACGCAUUAAGUGAUCCGCCUGGGGAGGUACGGCCGCAAGGUUAGAAACUCAAAGGAAUUGACGGGGGCCCGGCACAAGCGGUGGAGCAUGUGGUUUAAUUCGACGCAACGCGAAGAACCUUACCCAGUCUUGACAUGCAUUGGACAGGUGUGGAAACACACUCUUCCUUCGGGACCGAUGCACAGGUGCUGCAUGGCUGUCGUCAGCUCGUGUCGUGAGAUGUUGGGUUUAAAGUCCCGCAACGAGCGCAACCCUUGUCCUUAGUUGCUAACGGGUAAUGCCGAGCACUCUAAGGAGACUGCCGGUGAUAAAACCCGGAGGAAGGUGGGGUAUGACGUCAAGUCCGUCAU